UAGGUUCGAAAAUAGUGUUUCUCAUUUUGUGAAAACUUUGCAACCCAGCUAACCUUUAAUGUUUUUUCUCUUAAGGAAACUGACGCAACUGGCAGAUAUAUGGCUUCUUCAAUCUGUUAAUGCAGACUACCUUUGCCCUGCGGCGCAAUGAGAUCAUCAAUGAUGAGCUACCUGUUGGAGAGAUCCUGGAACGCUGGCCUGCCUUGAAAAUGGAGUCACAGAGUUUCACAGGAUAACAAACCUCAACCUGAAGAACCACUUCUAUGCGGAGUUGG